CAUUGGAUCGAUGAUUAUGGCAAUGGCAACUCACUCAGCUUCAAUUUCUCAUUAUAUUUACUACUUGGCUUUUGAAUUUUACAUCUCUUCCUUUUUUAUGUUUUUGUGAAUUUUUUUCACUUUCUUGGAGAAUAGCUUGCCCUCUCAUUCUUAUUCCUUUUCUUUUUCUAAAUAAUGAAUAAGUCCUCACUCUUUCUCUCUCUAAUAUCCAAUGAGAUCAUGAAACGAAGUUUCACGAAGCUGAAGAUGAUCUUCAAGAUUGCUUGAUUAGGGAUCCCUUCGUUCUCGAGAAAAUCGAGCUAGAAACGGCAUGGAGCCAGUCCUCAGUACUAGUAUGUGACUCUUCUACUUUGGCCAUUGCCUCCAAACUGAAAGAUCAUCUAUAUGGAGUUGCAUGCAUCUGUUUCUCACCCAAUGAGUUGAUGCUUUGUUUGGUACUGCUUUAACGCUAGAGGAUGGAGGAAGUGAAGAAGCUAUCCCAACACGCGGAAGAUCUUCUUUAGAUAGUAAUCACCCUUGAAUUGGGUUAUGUGAAUUCAAUAUUUUUGCUAUGAUUUUGGGUUCUGUAAAAUGAUAAGUGCAUAAUUAGAGACUCGUAUGGAUUUUAGAGUUUUAAAAUGGAUUUAUUUUAUGUUCUUGUUGUGGAUAAUUGUAAAUUUUCUACUCUUUCUCAUUUACACAACAUUGA